AGAGCCCCUAACUGGGCCCUAUGACUGGAGCUGAAGGGGCAGACUUAAAGAACAGUCUCUUUGAGAUGCAGACACUUUUGGAUUCCAUCCUGUUAGACAAGCUGCACACAACAGAAUGACCAAGGGCGAGACCGAGAGACCAGGGAAACCGCUCAGGUAUGGUCUGAAUUGCAAGGACACACAUCAGUUGCACAGCUGGAGCAAACAGCUGGGAAGCCUGUCUGGGGAGACAUCUGCCUGAGGUGGCUGGUGAGCCAAGAAUGAGGAGUGGUCACACUUUGCAGCCCAGGCACCUCCUGAGAAUGACAGCCCUCCAGUCAGAUCUAUCCUGAGAGGAACCUAGUGCCUGCCACAGUCCCUUGCAAUGUUGCCUUUGCUGUAAAGAUGAAAAUGAUGGGAAAUAAAUUUUUCCAGAAGAUCUGGUCCAUAUGCUGCUGCCCGCCAUGGCUGGAGUCUCGGAUUCAACCAUUGUGUUGGCUGCCUGCUGCCCAGACUGAGUGGGGUGAACUCAGGACAGAGCCUUGCUUUGGCAUGAAUACCUCUGCCUUCUCUUGCUGACACAUUCCCUCCACCACUCAAGAAUGCACAGAGCCCUUGCCAGGUUGAGAAUGCCUGACUGUGACAGCAGCGUUUGCAAAGUAAAGAGCCUAUUUAUGAAGAUAAUGGCAGUGCCCAGACCAGGCCCACCGUGGGAGAAUCUUGGCUCGUAAUUAGCAAGAACAGUGCAUUUUAAUGAGGAUGCCUGGUAGGCAGUCGGCUCCUGCCUGGACUGCCAACAAAUCUGGGCCAGAGGGAGUGUUGGCAGUGAGGACAAGGAGCAGGUCCUACACCGUGGUCAAGGUGCUUCACAACUUUAGCAGUUCCUGUUGACAUGUAAAUCCAGCUAUCAUCUUAACAGAGAAGAAGGGAUGAUAUAUUCUGGAGCCAAAUAUGCGUGAGCACGUAUGAGGCCCAUGUUCCGGUGUCAGGAAACCAGGGUGCAGGAGGCCCGGAAGCUGAAG
rnacentral:lncRNA from 1 species